rnacentral:tRNA from 1 species
GCGGGAGUGGCGGAACAGGCAGACGCGCACGUUUGAGGGGCGUGUGGUUUUACCGUACGGGUUCGACCCCCGUUUCCCGCACCA